GGAGAGAUGCGAGAGCGGUUGAAUCGGGCGGUCUCGAAAACCGUUGAACCCGCAAGGGUUCCGGGGGUUCGAAUCCCCCUCUCUCCG
rnacentral:tRNA from 1 species